rnacentral:rRNA from 1 species
ACUUUAUGUAAAAAUCUUAACUUGGCUGAGUUAUAUAUAUAAAAGUUUAGUAGGAUAUUAGCAUUAUAUUGGGGUGAUAUAAAUAAAAUGUUUAUUAACUGUUUAAAGUUGGAGACAAGAAUAAAUGAUUGAAUUUUUAAAUGAUCCUAGUUAGAGAUUAAAAGUUUAAGUU